AAUUUGUUAAUGUUUGGCCUCUGCCCCGGGAGGGCCCUGCCAGGAGCUUUAGGAUAAAACAACUCAGCAGAGCUCUAGGCAAGAGUUGACGAGACCUUCUCAAGAGCCACUGGUUCUGCCAAGGACCUCCUCCCUGCCUAGCAUGUGAAGCACUAAGUGUGAGGACAACUAAUUUUCAAAAUGAAGGCCUGGUGGCAUUUUUUUAGAGCCCCACAGACGUGAAAGCUCCUGCGUCCUUCAGAGUCCCAGCAGGAAGAAGCUGGUCCAUUCCAAAGGGCAAUGGAUGCCUGUCUGGGCUGCCAAGAAAGCACCCCGAGCAGAUCAUAUUCUCUGUCUUAAAGGGCUCAGUUGAGAAGAACAUGAAGAUAUCACUGUCUGUAGGGGAAAGAAAAGUAUAUAACUUUCAUACAAUUGAGGAAGGCCAUAUUUAUCAUGAAGAAAUAACUCACUUUGGAAGACAGUAAAAGAACUGCCAGCCCUGACUAUUUACAGAAGAUCAUUAUAUUUUUAUCGGUCUUAACAUAUCUGCUGAAUCAGCAAAGCCAAGAGUUCCAGCAAUUUCACUGAUUAUAGCUGCAUCUUUUGGAUAUUGCAAGCAACUAUUACCAAACCACUUGGGAGUGGGGGAGGGAAGACGCUGUGCGUUUUAAAGGAGAAUAAAUACAGUAGAAGGUUUUUCAAAUAUUGAUGUUAUAAGCUGUAAUAAAAUGGCGCUCUAAGGCAGCCCCAACUCCCUCAAAGUCCCUCAAACACAAUACUUCCCCAAGUGAAUUUUCAAUGCUAUUUUAACUUCAAAACCAGAAGGCAAGAGUUGGAAGGGGCAUCCUUGGAGGAAAAGCCUCCUCAUACCAUCUCCUCUCUUAAAUGCUGUUUCACUCAGGGGUCCUUCAGCCUUCUCCAGAGUAUCCCUUGUCCGCAUUAGUUUCCCACGCCCAGCUUGUGGGUCUGUUCCAUUUCAGCUAUGAAGAUCACGUCCCUUCUCAAUGAAUGCUCCUACUCUGCACAUUAAAUAACCCAUCUUGCCCUGAGAAGCCUCAGCAUCACUUACCUUUUUGUAUCGAACUACCAAAGACUUCACAUUGACUUUUUAAACCUUUUUUUCACAUUUAUUUUUUAUUUCACCCCAAUUUUGGGCUGGCCACUUCUUGGGAUUAUGUAUUCUUCUCACAUAGGCUAAUAUUAAGCUCUUACUAAAUGGAGCUGUUGUAGCAGGCAGGAUUUGAUUUGAUUUAUUGUAGACACAAAUACACAGCAUAAUUAGCUCGAUAGCUGCAGGGUUCAACUCCUCAGGUUCCCCUUUAAGUUUGGGCUGGGAAAAGGGGGCAUGCUCUGGCGUAGCAGAGGAAAAACCUGCCUUGGCUUUCUUCUCACGGACUCUUUCUCUCAGACAGGAUUUAUCUAUAGGUUUAAUAAUGGAGGGGGUUCCGGCAGGCAAUCU
rnacentral:lncRNA from 1 species